rnacentral:rRNA from 1 species
CCUACGGGAGGCAGCAGUGGGGAAUCUUGCACAAUGGGGGAAACCCUGAUGCAGCGAUGCCGCGUGAGUGAAGAAGGCCCUUGGGUUGUAAAGCUCUUUCANAAGUGAAGAUGAUGACGGUAACUUCANAANAAGCUCCGGCUAACUCCGUGCCAGCAGCCGCGGUAAUACGGGAGUGGCAAGCGUUAUCCGGAAUUAUUGGGCGUAAAGCGUCUGCAGGCGGCUUUUCAAGUCUACUGUUAAAGCGUGGAGCUUAACUCCAUCAUGGCAGUGGAAACUGAAAGGCUUGAGUAUGGGAGGGGCAGAGGGAAUUCCCGGUGUAGCGGUGAAAUGCGUANAUAUCGGGAAGAACACCAGUGGCGAAGGCGCUCUGNUGG